rnacentral:rRNA from 1 species
UACGUAGGGAGCAAGCGUUGUCCGGAAUCAUUGGGCGUAAAGCGCGCGUAGGUGGCCUCAUAAGUCCGCUGUGAAAGUCAAAGGCUCAACCUUUGAAAGCCGGUGAAUACUGUGAGGCUAGAGUACGGAAGAGGCGAGUGGAAUUCCUGGUGUAGCGGUGAAAUGCGCAGAUAUCAGGAGGAACACCGGUGGCGAAGGCGGGUCUCUGGGCCGAUACUGACGCUGAGGAGCGAAAGCGUGGGGAGCGAACAGG